UAUAUAUCAGGUUAGGGAAAUUACAGUUACUAUACCAAUUUAGCUUGGAUAUAAAAGAGAUUCUCAGAGAACUUCUGCUGUAAAUUGUACAAGCAAGAAACAACACUCAAAUGUGUUUUGUAAUG